AUUGAACGCUGGCGGCAGGCCUAACACAUGCAAGUCGAGCGGUAGCACAGAGAGCUUGCUCUCGGGUGACGAGCGGCGGACGGGUGAGUAAUGUCUGGGAAACUGCCUGAUGGAGGGGGAUAACUACUGGAAACGGUAGCUAAUACCGCAUAACGUCGCAAGACCAAAGUGGGGGACCUUCGGGCCUCAUGCCAUCAGAUGUGCCCAGAUGGGAUUAGCUGGUAGGUGGGGUAACGGCUCACCUAGGCGACGAUCCCUAGCUGGUCUGAGAGGAUGACCAGACAAACUGGAACUGAGACACGGACCAGCCUGCUACGGGCGGCAGCAGUGGGGAAUAUUGCACAAUGGGCGCAAGCCUGAUGCAGCCAUGCCUCGUGUGUGAAGAAGGCCUUCGGGUUGUAAAGCACUUUCAGCGGGGAGGAAGGCGGUGAGGUUAAUAACCUCAUCGAUUGACGUUACCCGCAGAAGAAGCACCGGCUAACUCCGUGCCAGCCGCCGCCGUAACAC
rnacentral:rRNA from 1 species